GCCACUAUAGCUCAGCUGGAUAGAGCAACGGUUUUGUAAACCGUAGGUCGUCGGUUCAAGUCCGACUUGUGGCUCCA
rnacentral:tRNA from 1 species